rnacentral:lncRNA from 1 species
AUGCAAUGAUGAAAGAUAUUCAUUUAUCAUAAACAUAGUUUUAUCAUAAACAUUUGACUUUAGCUUCCAGAUUUGAGUCCAGUAGAAAACAAAGAACAUAAACCUGGUCCCAUUGGAAAGGAACGUUCAUUAAAAAAUAGAAAAGUAAAAGAUGCCCAACAGGUGGAGCCAGAAGGACAAGAGAAACCAAGCCCAGCUACAGUCAGAAGCACAGAUCCUGUCACGACAAAGGAAACUAAAGCAGUCUCAGAAAUGUCUGCUGAAAUAGGAACAAUGAUCUCGGUAUCAUCUGCAGAAUAUGGUACUAAUGCAAAGGAGUCUGUAACAGACUAUACUACACCCUCUUCUUCUCUGCCUAACACUGUGGCUACUAAUAACACAAAGAUGGAGGAUACUUUGGUUAAUAAUGUGCCCCUGCCCAACACCCUUCCCCUCCCUAAGAGGGAGACUAUACAACAGAGCUCCAGCCUAACUUCAGUUCCUCCCACUACUUUCAGCCUCACCUUCAAGAUGGAGUCUGCACGCAAGGCAUGGGAGAAUUCUCCAAAUGUAAGGGAAAAGGGGUCUCCAGUAACUUCCACAGCACCUCCAAUUGCAACUGGAGUCAGCAGUAGUGCCAGUGGACCAAGCACUGCCAAUUAUAAUUCGUUCUCAAGUGCAUCCAUGCCCCAGAUUCCUGUUGCCUCAGUCACUCCUACAACAUCACUAUCAGGAGCUGGUACAUACACUACCUCUUCUUUGAGCACAAAAUCUACAACCACAUCAGACCCUCCAAAUAUUUGUAAAGUGAAACCUCAGCAGUUGCAGACAAGCAGCCUGCCUUCUGCAAGUCAUUUUUCACAGUUAAGCUGUAUGCCUUCCCUUAUUGCCCAGCAACAACAGAGUCCGCAAGUUUAUGUGUCUCAGUCUGCAGCAGCUCAAAUCCCAGCCUUCUAUAUGGACACAAGUCAUUUAUUUAAUACCCAACAUGCGCGAUUGGCUCCACCAUCCUUGGCUCAACAACAGGGUUUCCAACCAGGUCUCUCUCAGCCAACUUCAGUUCAGCAGAUUCCAAUCCCUAUUUAUGCACCACUGCAAGGGCAGCAUCAAGCCCAACUGAGUUUGGGGGCUGGACCUGCUGUUUCCCAGGCUCAGGAAUUGUUCAGCUCUUCACUUCAACCAUAUAGAUCUCAGCCAGCUUUUAUGCAAAGCAGUUUAUCCCAGCCAUCUGUGGUCCUUUCUGGGACUGCUAUUCACAACUUUCCAACUGUCCAACACCAAGAACUUGCCAAGGCACAAUCUGGUCUUGCCUUUCAGCAAACAUCAAGUACCCAGCCUAUUCCCAUAUUGUAUGAACAUCAACUGGGGCAGGCAUCAGGACUAGGAGGUUCCCAGCUGAUUGACACACAUCUUCUCCAGGCUAGAGCAAAUCUUACCCAGGCUUCAAAUCUUUAUUCUGGACAAGUACAACAGCCUGGUCAGACAAAUUUUUAUAACACUGCCCAGUCACCAAGUGCUCUCCAGCAGGUUACAGUACCUUUACCAGCAUCCCAGCUUUCCUUGCCUAAUUUUGGAUCUACAGGGCAACCUCUAAUUGCUUUGCCUCAGACUCUUCAGCCCCCAUUACAGCAUACCACUCCCCAAGCACAGGCUCAGAGUCUGAGCCGUCCUGCACAAGUAAGCCAGCCUUUCAGAGGAUUAAUUCCUGCUGGAACACAGCAUAGCAUGAUUGCAACCACAGGAAAAAUGUCUGAAAUGGAACUAAAAGCCUUUGGAAGUGGCAUUGAUAUAAAACCAGGCACACCUCCAAUCGCUGGUAGAAGCACCACACCAACAUCUAGUCCCUUCCGGGCUACUUCUACAAGUCCGAACAGCCAGUCCAGCAAAAUGAACAGCAUUGUCUACCAGAAGCAGUUCCAGUCAGCCCCUGCCACUGUGAGAAUGACACAACCAUUUCCUACACAGUUUGCACCCCAGAUUCUCUCUCAGCCUAACCUGGUCCCUCCAUUGGUAAGAGCCCCACAUACUAACACCUUCCCAGCGCCUGUUCAGAGGCCACCAAUGGCACUGGCCAGUCAGAUGCCUCCUCCGCUGACCACAGGCCUCAUGAGCCAUGCUCGUUUGCCACAUGUAGCCAGGGGUCCUUGUGGAUCACUAUCUGGAGUCAGAGGUAAUCAGGCCCAGGCUGCGUUGAAGGCUGAACAAGACAUGAAGAAGAGAGCUGUGGGAAGAGGACUCAGCCACAAGACAUUUGGUCCUAGGUGUUGGCAAAGCAGAGAGCAGAGGUUCUUCAGUCCACGCAACGGUUCUUCUCUGAACAGCAACAGAGCAAACAGAUAG